rnacentral:rRNA from 1 species
CAGUAGCCGCGGUAAUACGAAGGGGGCUAGCGUUGCUCGGAAUUACUGGGCGUAAAGGGAGCGUAGGCGGACAUUUAAGUCAGGGGUGAAAUCCCAGAGCUCAACUCCGGAACUGCCUUUGAUACUGGGUGUCUUGAGUGUGAUAGAGGUAUGUGGAACUCCGAGUGUAGAGGUGAAAUUCGUAGAUAUUCGGAAGAACACCAGUGGCGAAGGCGACAUACUGGAUCAUUACUGACGCUGAGGCUCGAAAGCGUGGGGAGCAAACAGGAUUAGAUACCCCCGUAGUCCCUGUCUCUUAUAC